GGAGAGAGGCUGGAUACAGACACACUCAGAGACAGAGAGAGGGAGAAGAGCUGCAGAAAUUGGGAUCAAUGGAAACAGGACCAUUGAGGCAAUGACUGGAUACACUGUCAUGGGCAGACUGAAAAAUUCAGAUGGGGCCUCGGACUAAACCAACAUCCAGACAACACAAGUAUCCUGUAAGACUUGGAUAAGCCAAGACUAGAUCUAAUCAAAUAUUGGGUUCACCAAAUUAUCUGUGACAUCUAGUUUAUUUAAAUCUGGAUUGACUAUUUUGUUGAAGUCUUACAGGACAAUGCAAUAGGAUUUCUAGAUAUAAUGAAUAUGACGUUGGCUAGUUGACUAUUGACUGUCCGAUGAAGGUGCAAUUCAGUGGACCACUUUGAAGAACUCAUUUCAAAUGCAUGGUAAAGGAACGAGUUGGGAUCUGCAAUGCAUAAUUAUAAUGAUUGAAUUUGCUUUUUAAAAGCUGCUCUCCCCUUUCUAAAAGGCUUGUGUUGCUAAAAAGGAGACAAGAGCAUUUUGUUCAAUAAAGAAGACUGAACUAGGCCCUCUGACUGAACUUGCAGAAGUGAGAAAAAAACGAUUCAAACUACUGAGCGUACAUUCCCUUCAUACUUUCUGCCUCCCCCUCGAGGGACAAAUUAACAGACUGAUACUUGGCAAAGGUGUGUCUUCCAGUUACUGGAAGUGAUUGCAUCUACUAUAAGGAUGUUCCCCUCAUAAUCUGUCUAUAGGGGAGACAUCCAGAGAGUAUUUUUGUCACUGAAAGAGCUGGUUCCAGAAUCGGAAUGGGAUGCGCGAUGUGCUCUCCGCUGUUAGAAAUGUGGAAUGUGUCCACAAAGCAGCCAGGAAGUAACUGCCUGGAGCUGUCUAUAUUUCCUGAGUCCUGUGUCCAUGGUUACCAAAGAGCAUCUGGACUCCAUUACGUGUCUUCCUUCUCGGAUGCUGAGGACUGUUGUGAUGAUGUCAGCCCCAAAAGCCUCUCUUUGAUGGACGCCUCCGAUACUGAGGAGUAAAGCAAAAGGAUGUUGUUUUCAUUCUUGUGAUGAGGGCAAUUGUCUGUUUCUGUUGUAAUGUUGGUGGCUGUCUUUUCUCUAACAGUAUUGGUAACUGUUUCUGCUGGCAACAGAUUUACUUGGACGUUUUUCUACAAGGACUGAAUAUCAUUAUUCUUGGAGUGAUUGUAACUGUUCAUUCAACAUAUCUUACCAAAGUGAAUGAUUCUGAGUAAGCACUACCCUGGUCAGUCCUUUUGUUUUCUCUCCAUGGUUUCUUUAAUGAGUGGGACUAUCACUGUGCAAACUUGAACUUGAAUAUAAACCUUGACACAUUCCAUUUGUCAAAUAUAAUGAUCCUUUUAAAAUAUCGCUCAAUACUUUUAUUAUGGGAGCUUUGACAGAUCUUUUGUGUAAAUUUGGCAGCCAACAUGUGACAUGUGAAAGAAUUAGAAAGAUCCCUUUUUCCUAAGCUUCAAUACACCAGCACAAAGCGAGAUUAAUGAGCAUGCUUCCAUAUAAAUGCUGUGAUUGUUAUAAUAAUAUCCAUUUUUUACAUUCCUUACUUUAAAACAUUUGUUUCAUGUUGACAUUACCAGGCAAAAUUAGCUAUCAACUCAGUAAGGUUUUUCCAAGCAGAACCGCUGGAGCAGACAUCAAAGCUGAAAACCUUUUAUUGAUGUUUUUUUCCCCCAAAGCGUGGGCCUGGUGAGUAAACUGGGUAGGUGUAAAAAGGAUGUCAUGCAUCAUCAGUCAAAUACAUCCUGUGGCUCCUUUUUUUUUACACAAAAGGGAAUAGACAUGUUAGUAAAGCUAAGCAAAGUCAAACAGGUUGGGUGGAUGCUCUGAGGUUUUUAGUUUUGAUAGGUAGGGGUUGUAAAGAGUUUAUGAAAACAUAAGUACAACGCUAUGAAGGGCAGCUAUGUGUGGGCAGUGUAUGCUGCUACAAUAUAUAUUGGCUGGGAAAGGGGCAAUUAAAUGAGCAGAACUGACCUCCCUAACCUGUUGCAAGUAAAGCCCCUUUCACACUGGUGCUCCAACCCAGGUCCUGACCCAAUUUCUAGUUACCCGGGUCAAAAUCCUGCGUAGUGUAAAACCAUGUACCAGAUUGCUGCAGGGAUGGCGUGGAGCGAUGUUGUCUGAUCAAAAUGAUGCUGACACACGGAGAUAAGCUUUGCACACAAAGGAGUGUAAAAAUCUGUAUAAAACAGCAGCACUAGGAGGUGCAUUUGAGAAGCGUCAAGAUCCUCCGUGAACACACUCCAGAGCCAUGCCCGAUGCUUCUAACACAAACUGGGAACUGAUAUCACUGCUUCACUUCUGUUAAUAACUAGUGGCCUCCUUAUUGUGUCUAAUGAUAAUGAUUAAGCUGUAUAAGUGUGACUUUUCAUUAUUGGAAUCAAUAAAUGAAGCAUGUAAAA